UACGUAGGGGGCUAGCGUUGUCCGGAAUCAUUGGGCGUAAAGCGCGUGUAGGCGGUUCGGUAAGUCUGCUGUGAAAGUCGGGGGCUCAACCCUCGAAUGCCGGUGGAUACUGUCGGGCUAGAGUACGGAAGAGGCGAGUGGAAUUCCUGGUGUAGCGGUGAAAUGCGCAGAUAUCAGGAGGAACACCGGUGGCGAAGGCGGCUUGCUGGGCCAGUUCUGACGCUGAGGAGCGAAAGCGUGGGGAGCGAACAGG
rnacentral:rRNA from 1 species